rnacentral:tRNA from 1 species
GGUGGCUCAGUGGUAGAGUGUUUACCUUGCAUGUAAGAGGCCUUGUGUUCGAUUCCUCAGCACCA